rnacentral:rRNA from 1 species
GAAACGACUGCUAAGACUGGAUAGGAAGUUUUAAGGCAUCUUGAAACUUUUAAAAGACCCGCAAGGGUAUGCUGAGAGAUGGGCUUGCGGCACAUUAGUUAGUUGGUAAGGUAACGGCUUACCAAGACCAUGAUGUGUAGCUGGACUGAGAGGUUGAACGGCCACAUUGGGACUGAGAUACGGCCCAAACUCCUACGGGAGGCAGCAGUAAGGAAUUUUCGGCAAUGGAGGAAACUCUGACCGAGCAACGCCGCGUGAACGAUGAAGUAUUUAGGUAUGUAAAGUUCUUUUAUUAAAGAAGAAAAAAUGAUGGAAAAAUCAUUCUGACGGUAUUUAAUGAAUAAGCCCCGGCUAACUAUGUGCCAGCAGCUGCGGUAAUACAUGGGGGGCAAGCGUUAUCCGGAUUUAUUGGGCGUAAAGGGUGCGUAGGCGGUUUAAUAAGUCUAUGGUCUAAGUUCAACGCUUAACGUUGUGAUGCUAUAGAAACUGUUUGACUAGAGUUGGAUAGAGGCAAGUGGAAUUCCAUGUGUAGCGGUAAAAUGCGUAAAGAUAUGGAGGAACACCAGUAGCGAAGGCGGCUUGCUGGGUCUUAACUGACGCUGAGGCACGAAAGCGUGGGGAGCAAACAGGAUUAGAUACCCUGGUAGUCCACGCCGUAAACGAUGAGUACUAAGUGUUGGGUUAAACCAGUGCUGAAGUUAACGCAUUAAGUACUCCGCCUGAGUAGUACGUACGCAAGUAUGAAACUUAAAGGAAUUGACGGGACUCCGCACAAGCGGUGGAUCAUGUUGUUUAAUUCGAAGAUACACGAAAAACCUUACCAGGUCUUGACAUACUCUGCAAAGCUAUAGAAAUAUAGUGGAGGUUAUCAGGGAUACAGGUGGUGCAUGGUUGUCGUCAGCUCGUGUCGUGAGAUGUUGGGUUAAGUCCCGCAACGAGCGCAACCCUUAUCGCUAGUUACCAUCAUUUAGUUGGGCACUUUAGUGAGACUGCCAAUGAUAAAUUGGAGGAAGGUGGGGAUUACGUCAAAUCAUCAUGCCCCUUAUGACCUGGGCUACAAACGUGAUACAAUGGCUGUUACAAAGAGUAGCUGAAGCGUGAGUUUUUAGCAAAUCUCAAAAAAACAGUCUCAGUUCGGAUUGAAGUCUGCAACUCGACUUCAUGAAGUCGGAAUCGCUAGUAAUCGCGAAUCAGCAUGUCGUGGUGAAUACGUUCUCGGGGUUUGUACACACCGCCCGU